CCAUGUACAAAACCGAUCAAAUCAGGUGUAGAGAGUGAGAACACAUCUUACUGAUCGGAAAAAGUUAUAUAGUAGAGAGAUCGCAGUGGAACAGCAUCGGUUUCAUUAAUCAGGUUUCCUGCGUAUCUUGGUCGGGUCUUUUAGUAACGAGGGGAUUCUGUCCGUUGAUCGGUGAGGAGUGUGAAACCUUAGAUGGCGAGCCAACCAACUGGAUCUUCUGGAGUCUCUGCGAGCUUGAACUUCAAAUCCUGAGAAACAUUAUGUGGGACCUUUUGGAGAAGCUGAAUUACUACUGUGAAUGAUUGCUCAAUG